CAGCAGCUGCCAUUAAGAUUGCACAUCGUCCGGAGAAUGAAGGAAAACUAAUUGUGGUUGUUUUCCCCAGCUUUGGAGAGCGAUAUCUUUCCUCGGUUCUCUUCCAGUCGAUAAAGAAGGAAGCUGAGAGCAUGGUGUUUGAGACCUCUUCCAGUUUAUAAAGAAGGAAAGCUGAGAGGUAUGUAGUGUGUUUGAGCCCUGAGCAAAAUAUGCUUGUAACAAACUGAAUGAAGAAUAAGCAAGGCAUCCUUUGUACUUUUAUGGGAGUUCUUAAGGAUCCUUUUGCGCGUUGCCUAUUUUCAGAAUAAUCUAUAGACGUGUAUCUUUGACGUUGUGUUAUAAGGGUGUAAAUUGAGCACCUUGUUCUUUAGGACUGCGCUAAAUGAGUUAAAUGGCUGUUCCAUUUUCUGCUUUGGGAAUGCAAAUAUGAGGACAAUUUAGGUAUUGGUUGCCUGAGAAGUUGAUCUUUCUA